rnacentral:rRNA from 1 species
GGUGAACGCUGGCGGUAGGCCUAACACAUGCAAGUCGAACGGCAGCACAGUAAGAGCUUGCUCUUACGGGUGGCGAGUGGCGGACGGGUGAGGAAUACAUCGGAAUCUACUUUUUCGUGGGGGAUGACGUAGAGAAACUUACGCUAAUACCGCAUACGACCUACGGGUGAAAGCAGGGGAUCUUCGGACCUUGCGCGAUUGAAUGAGCCGAUGUCGGAUUAGCUAGUUGGCGGGGUAAAGGCCCACCAAGGCGACGAUCCGUAGCUGGUCUGAGAGGAUGAUCAGCCACACUGGAACUGAGACACGGUCCAGACUCCUACGGGAGGCAGCAGUGGGGAAUAUUGGACAAUGGGCGCAAGCCUGAUCCAGCCAUACCGCGUGGGUGAAGAAGGCCUUCGGGUUGUAAAGCCCUUUUGUUGGGAAAGAAAAGCAGCAGGUUAAUACCCCGCUGUUCUGACGGUACCCAAAGAAUAAGCACCGGCUAACUUCGUG